AGUGAACGCUGGCGGCAGGCCUAACACAUGCAAGUCGAGCGGCAGCGACGUCCGACCGACCCUCGGGUGGUCGGAUGGCGGCGAGCGGCGGACGGGUGAGGAAUGCAUCGGAAUCUGCCUCGUUGUGGGGGAUAACGUAGGGAAACUUACGCUAAUACCGCAUACGACCUACGGGUGAAAGUGGGGGACCUUCGGGCCUCACGCGAUGAGAUGAGCCGAUGCCGGAUUAGCUAGUUGGCGGGGUAAAGGCCCACCAAGGCGACGAUCCGUAGCUGGUCUGAGAGGAUGAUCAGCCACACUGGAACUGAGACACGGUCCAGACUCCUACGGGAGGCAGCAGUGGGGAAUAUUGGACAAUGGGGGCAACCCUGAUCCAGCCAUGCCGCGUGUGUGAAGAAGGCCUUCGGGUUGUAAAGCACUUUUGUUGGGGAAGAAACCGGCCGGGUUAAUACCCUGGUUGAAUGACGGUACCCAAAGAAUAAGCACCGGCUAACUUCGUG
rnacentral:rRNA from 1 species